rnacentral:rRNA from 1 species
CUACGGAGGGUGCAAGCGUUACUCGGAAUCACUGGGCGUAAAGCGCGCGCAGGCGGGCUGAUAAGUUGGAUGUGACAGCCUACGGCUCAACCGUAGAACUGCAUCCAAAACUGUCAGUCUAGAGUCUGGGAGGGGAAGAUGGAAUUAGUUGUGUAGGGGUAAAAUCCGUAGAGAUAACUAGGAAUACCAAAAGCGAAGGCGAUCUUCUGGAACAGUACUGACGCUGAGGCGCGAAAGCGUGGGGAGCAAACAGGAUUAGAAACCCUAGUAGUCC